rnacentral:rRNA from 1 species
AUUGAACGCUGGCGGAAUGCUUUACACAUGCAAGUCGAACGGCAGCACGGGUGCUUGCACCUGGUGGCGAGUGGCGAACGGGUGAGUAACAUAUCGGAACGUACCCAGUAAUGGGGGAUAACUAACCGAAAGGUUAGCUAAUACCGCAUACGCCCUGAGGGGGAAAGCGGGGGAUCGAAAGACCUCGCGUUAUUGGAGCGGCCGAUAUCUGAUUAGCUAGUUGGUGAGGUAAAGGCUCACCAAGGCGACGAUCAGUAGCAGGUCUGAGAGGAUGAUCUGCCACACUGGAACUGAGACACGGUCCAGACUCCUACGGGAGGCAGCAGUGGGGAAUUUUGGACAAUGGGGGAAACCCUGAUCCAGCCAUUCCGCGUGAGUGAAGAAGGCUUUCGGGUUGUAAAGCUCUUUCGGCAGGGAAGAAACGGUUCUGGAUAAUACCCGGAGCUAAUGACGGUACCUGAAGAAGAAGCACCGGCUAACUACGUGCCAGCCGCCGCCGUAA